AGCGAACGCUGGCGGCAGGCCUAACACAUGCAAGUCGAGCGGCCGUAGCAAUACGGCAGCGGCAGACGGGAGAGUAACACGUGGGAACGCGCCCUUCGGUUCGGGAUAACUCAGGGAAACUUGAGCUAAUACCGGAUACGCCCUUACGGGGAAAGAUUUAUUGCCGAAAGACCGGCCCGCGUCCGAGUAGCUUGUUGGUGAGGUAACGGCUCACCAAGGCGACGAUCGGUAGCUGGUCUGAGGGGAUGACCAGCCUCACUGGGACUGAGACACGGCCCAGACUCCUACAGGAGGCAGCAGUGGGGAAUAUUGGACAAUGGGCGCAAGCCUGAUCCAGCCAUGCCGCGUGGGUGAUGAAGGCCCUAGGGUUGUAAAGCCCUUUCAGCGGGGAAGAUUAUGACGUUACCCGCAGAAGAAGCCCCGGCUAACUUCGUGCCAGCAGCCGCAGUAA
rnacentral:rRNA from 1 species